rnacentral:rRNA from 1 species
GACGUAGGGUGCAAGCGUUGUCCGGAUUUAUUGGGCGUAAAGAGCGUGUAGGCGGCCAGACAGGUCCGUUGUGAAAACUCGAGGCUCAACCUCGAGAUGUCGAUGGAAACCGUCUGGCUAGAGUCCGGAAGAGGAGUGUGGAAUUCCUGGUGUAGCGGUGAAAUGCGCAGAUAUCAGGAAGAACACCUAUGGCGAAGGCAGCACUCUGGGACGGUACUGACGCUGAGACGCGAAAGCGUGGGGAGCGAACAGG